rnacentral:misc_RNA from 1 species
UUUCCGUAGGUGAACCUGCGGAAGGAUCAUUGUCGAAACCUGCCCAGCAGAACGACCCGCGAACUUGUAUAAACAACUGGGGGCGGGGGGCGUUCUCGCCCCGUGCCCCCGAACGGCGGGGAGACACUCGUGCCUUCUUGCCGAACAACGAACCCCGGCGCGGUCUGCGCCAAGGAACUUCAACUAAAGAGUGCCUCCGGUCGCCUCGGAAACGGCGUGCGUGCCGGAGGCGAAUCUUGUGCAAAACCAUAACGACUCUCGGCAACGGAUAUCUCGGCUCGC